rnacentral:rRNA from 1 species
CAAGUCGUAACAAGGUUUCCGUAGGUGAACCUGCGGAAGGAUCAUUAAAGAAUACCGGCUUCGCAGCCAAUAUUCUCGCCCUCUGUAUACCAAACUUUGUUGCUUUGGCAGGCCCCUGGCUUCAGCUGGACUGUGCCUGCCAGAGGACCCCUAACUCUUGAAUGCCUGCUGUCUGAGUACUAUCUAAAUAGUUAAAACUUUCAACAACGGAUCUCUUGGUUCUGGCAUCGAUGAAGAACGCAGCGAAAUGCGAUAAGUAAUGUGAAUUGCAGAAUUCAGUGAAUCAUCGAAUCUUUGAACGCACAUUGCGCUCCCUGGUAUUCCGGGGAGCAUGCCUGUUCGAGCGUCAUUACAACCCUCACGCCCAGCGUGGUGUUGGGCUUGCCCUGUAGGGCCUGCCUCAAAAUCAGUGGCGGCACUAUCUGGUACCCUAAGCGUAGUAAUACUUGUCGCUUCUGGGCUCUAGGCAGCGGCCUGCCAGCAGCCCCCCCCCUAAAUUUUCUAGGUUGACCUCGGAUUAGGUAGGGAUACCCGCUGAACUUAA